rnacentral:rRNA from 1 species
UAGGGAAUCUUCCGCAAUGGGCGAAAGCCUGACGGAGCAACGCCGCGUGAGUGAUGAAGGUCUUCGGAUCGUAAAACUCUGUUACUAGGGAAGAACAAAUGUGUAAGUAACUAUGCACGUCUUGACGGUACCUAAUCAGAAAGCCACGGCUAACUACGUGCCAGCAGCCGCGGUAAUACGUAGGUGGCAAGCGUUAUCCGGAAUUAUUGGGCGUAAAGCGCGCGUAGGCGGUUUUUUAAGUCUGAUGUGAAAGCCCACGGCUCAACCGUGGAGGGUCAUUGGAAACUGGAAAACUUGAGUGCAGGAGAGGAGAGUGGAAUUCCAUGUGUAGCGGUGAAAUGCGCAGAGAUAGGGAGGAACACCAGUGGCGAAGGCGACUUUCUGGUCUGUAACUGACGCUGAUGUGCGAAAGCGGGGGGAUCAAACAGG